GCCGCCGUAGAAAUAUUACUAUUACCAUCCUCCUCUUGGUGAUCGCCCUGUCCCAUAUGGCCUUCUGGAUUCAGGGCCUGCACAGGGUGAUUAACAAAGGGAUGACGGUAAUAUUUAAUUCAUGAUGUUGGC